AUUGAACGCUGGCGGCAGGCCUAACACAUGCAAGUCGAACGGUAACAGGAAGCAGCUUGCUGCUUUGCUGACGAGUGGCGGACGGGUGAGUAAUGUCUGGGAAACUGCCUGAUGGAGGGGGAUACUACUGGAAACGGUAGCUAAUACCGCAUAACGUCGCAAGACCAAAGAGGGGGACCUUAGGGCCUCUUGCCAUCGGAUGUGCCCAGAUGGGAUUAGCUAGUAGGUGGGGUAACGGCUCACCUAGGCGACGAUCCCUAGCUGGUCUGAGAGGAUGACCAGCCACACUGGAACUGAGACACGGUCCAGACUCCUACGGGAGGCAGCAGUGGGGAAUAUUGCACAAUGGGCGCAAGCCUGAUGCAGCCAUGCCGCGUGUAUGAAGAAGGCCUUCGGGUUGUAAAGUACUUUCAGCGGGGAGGAAGGGAGUAAAGUUAAUACCUUUGCUCAUUGACGUUACCCGCAGAAGAAGCACCGGCUAACUCCGUG
rnacentral:rRNA from 1 species